rnacentral:ribozyme from 1 species
GGUGAUGGGUCCUGCCUCACCCUACGAGGCAGGAUUAAACCGCAGGGAAUGUCCAAAGCCAUU